AAAAAGGGCUUCUGUCCUGCAUGGCACACGUUGAGCAGGGGGGGGGGGGGUAUUCUCAGCUGUUUUUCGUGCGGAAUCGACAUCAAGAAAUUUUGGAAGCACAAUUUUUGUUACCUGGGAAGCUGGUGAUCAUUGGUCCUGGCACCCUU